CCUACGGGGCGCUGCAGUGAGGAAUAUUGGUCAAUGGGCGCUAGCCUGAACCAGUCAAGUAGCGUGAAGGAUGACUGCCCUAUGGGUUGUAAACUUCUUUUAUAUGGGAAUAAAGUGCAGUAUGUAUACUGCUUUGCAUGUACCUUAUGAAUAAGGAUCGGCUAACUCCGUGCCAGCAGCCGCGGUAAUACGGAGGAUCCGAGCGUUAUCCGGAUUUAUUGGGUUUAAAGUGAGCGUAGGCGGGUUGUUAAGUCAGUUGUGAAAGUUUGCGGCUCAACCGUAAAAUUGCAGUUGAUACUGGCAGCCUUGAGUACAGUAGAGGUAGGCGGAAUUCGUGGUGUAGCGGUGAAAUGCUUAGAUAUCACGAAGAACUCCGAUUGCGAAGGCAGCCUGCUGGACUGUAACUGACGCUGAUGCUCGAAAGUGUGGGUAUCAAACAGGAUUAGAUACCCCGGUAGUC
rnacentral:rRNA from 1 species